rnacentral:rRNA from 1 species
ACGGAAGGCAGCAGUGGGGGAUAUUGCGCAAUGGGGGAAACCCUGAUGCAGCGACGCCGCGUGAGCGAAGAAGUAUUUCGGUAUGUAAAGCUCUAUCAGCAGGGAAGAAAAUGACGGUACCUGACUAAGAAGCCCCGGCUAACUACGUGCCAGCAGCCGCGGUAAUACGUAGGGGGCAAGCGUUAUCCGGAUUUACUGGGUGUAAAGGGAGCGUAGACGGCAAGGUAAGUCUGAAGUGAAAUGCCGGGGCUCACCCCCGGAACUGCUUUGGAAACUAUCUCGCUCGAGUACCGGAGGGGUAAGCGGAAUUCCUAGUGUAGCGGUGAAAUGCGUAGAUAUUAGGAGGAACACCAGUGGCGAGGCGGCUUACUGGACGGUAACUGACGUUGAGGCUCGAAAGCGUGGGGAGCAAACAGGAUUAGAUACCCUGGUA